AAAAAAAUCAAGGUAAGUUAAUCAACUCAACUUGAAUAAGCCUUAAUCUGCUGCAUAUUAGUGAUCCAGCAAAACUGAGACGAGGGGGAGAAGACCUUAACUAACCGUAGAAGUAUGCCAUAGAAUUAUAAGCAUGUGCUUCUCAAUUGUUUCAGUGCACUGCUCAAUUCCUGAUGGACAUGUAUUUCGUUCUUUUUUAGUGUCUUCCAAACUAUGAGAUCCAUAUGAGAGAGCUGAUGAUACUUUCUUUGUCCUUAUGCAAUCAGAAGUAAAUUAGGUAUCCAAAAGUUUUUCAUCUGAAAGAUCCUUAGUUCCUCUAAAUCCAAAUAUUGUAUGAACGCAUUCGUCCAAAACCUGAAGAAUAAAGCAACAUCAAAAGUUAUGAAUCGAUUGCAAAGUCUAACAAGGAG
rnacentral:lncRNA from 1 species